UACAGAGGGUGCGAGCGUUAAUCGGAAUUACUGGGCGUAAAGGGCGCGUAGGCGGUUAGUUAAGAUUGAUGUGAAAUCCCUGGGCUUAACCUAGGAAUGGCAUCGAUGACUGGCUAGCUGGAGUACUGUAGAGGGUAGUGGAAUUUCCGGUGUAGCGGUGAAAUGCGUAGAGAUCGGAAGGAACACCAGUGGCGAAGGCGACUAUCUGGACAGAUACUGACACUGAGGCGCGAGAGCGUGGGUAGCAAACAGG
rnacentral:rRNA from 1 species